CACGUAGUUAGCCGGUGCUUAUUCUUCAGGUACCGUCAUUAGGAAUGGAUAUUAGCCACUCCCGUUUCUUCCCUGACAAAAGAGCUUUACAACCCGAAGGCCUUCUUCACUCACGCGGCAUUGCUGGAUCAGGCUUGCGCCCAUUGUCCAAAAUUCCCCACUGCUGCCUCCCGUAGGAGUCUGGACCGUGUCUCAGUUCCAGUGUGGCUGGUCGUCCUCUCAGACCAGCUACUGAUCGUCGCCUUGGUGAGCCUUUACCUCACCAACUAGCUAAUCAGAUAUCGGCCGCUCCAGGAGCACAAGGUCCGAAGAUCCCCUGCUUUCAUCCUUAGAUCGUAUGCGGUAUUAGCGUAACUUUCGCUACGUUAUCCCCCACUCUUGGGUACGUUCCGAUAUAUUACUCACCCGUUCGCCACUCGUCAGCGGAGCAAGCUCCCUGUUACCGUUCGACUUGCAUGUGUAAAGCAUGCCGCAGCGUUCAAUCUGAGCCAGGA
rnacentral:rRNA from 1 species